UGCGUAGGCGUUUUGUUAAGUCGAAUCUGAAAGCCCCCAGCUUAACUGGGGAGGGUGAUUCGAAACUGGCAGAAUUGAGUACGGCAGAGGUUAGUGGAAUUCAAUGUGUAGCGGUGGAAUGCGUAGAUAUAUUGAGGAACACCAGUGGCGAAGGCGGCUAACUGGACCGGAACUGACGCUGAGGCACGAAAGCGUGGGGAGCAAACAGGAUUAGAUACCCUGGUAGUCC
rnacentral:rRNA from 1 species